UACGGAAGGCAGCAGUGGGGAAUAUUGCACAAUGGGUGCAAGCCUGAUGCAGCCAUGCCGCGUGUAUGAAGAAGGCCUUCGGGUUGUAAAGUACUUUCAGUCGUGAGGAAGGUGUUAAGGUUAAUAACCUUAGCAAUUGACGUUAGCGACAGAAGAAGCACCGGCUAACUCCGUGCCAGCAGCCGCGGUAAUACGGAGGGUGCGAGCGUUAAUCGGAAUUACUGGGCGUAAAGGGCACGCAGGCGGUUAAUUAAGUUGGAUGUGAAAUCCCCGGGCUUAACCUGGGAAUGGCAUUCAAGACUGGUUAGCUAGAGUCUUGUAGAGGGGGUAGAAUUCCAUGUGUAGCGGUGAAAUGCGUAGAGAUGUGGAGGAAUACCGGUGGCGAAGGCGGCCCCUGGACAAAGACUGACGCUCAUGUGCGAAAGCGUGGGGAGCAAACAGGGAUUAGAUACC
rnacentral:rRNA from 1 species